AUCAGUGGACAAAGUCACUGUAAACCACCUUAGCUGUCCUGUGGUUGCUGUCAGCUUUCUUCUAUGUACUGAACAUCAUGUACCAAAAGGGAGCAUCCCUCACUCUGGAGUUCAUACAGAUGUACUGAGCCUGCUGGGUAUAAAUGAAGAAGAGCAGAAAAAAGGGCACAAAACAGUACAACAUUCCACCAAAACUGCUUCAAUUCCUGUCAGACCUGAGUGACUUCCAGAAUCCUUGGAAGAUUUAAAGCCACAGAACUAGCAUCUGGAACAGAGAGAAAGGAGAGGGAAGCAUGUGUGUGUGUGUGUGGUGUGUGACAACAGGCGGGCUAUUUUACCCCCACUCAAAAAACUAAGCACUCAAAAUGAUGAUUUUAAAUAGUUUUUUGUUCUUAAUAGUUCAUAUUUUUUACUGUGUGAUACAACAAUCGUUUUCAGUACAAAACACAUUAUUUGGCAGCGUAUUGAUUUUUUUCCCCAUUAUAGCUGUGGGGUGCAAAUGUAUCACUUUUACUGGCUUGAUCUGCAUUCUGUUCCUGAACUUUGUUUCAUUUUCAAUUACCAUUCUGAACCACAGAGUCAAAUUUGACCCAUGAAAUUGGUAAUUUUUCAGUUUUACAUGUUCAUAUCCCAAGGAUGUUGGUUGAGGAUGUCGAGGAUUUUCAUGCUGAGAAAAUGUUUAUGGGUGUUUUAUUUAUGUUAAACUCUGGAAUGGGUCCUUUUUGACUCAAACUAGUCAUUUAUCUAAAACAAUGAUUUUAAAAUAGGUUUUUUUUGAGGGAUGUCCUGAUCAAGGUUUUUUUUUUUUUGCCCCUGACUUAAAAUCAGUCUGAUGCAGGUAAGAUAUACUUGGUAAUUGAAUAACCUCUUAAAGAAAAAAAUAGCCUACAUCACACCUUUCCCUUAAUGGUUUUCAUUUACUUUGUGACAAAAAAAGGAUUGGAAUUUGAUUGAGCUUAAUAUAGCCGCUACCGAUCAAUUAAAAUUUGUGAUCGGCUCCAAUUUGUCCAAUCUGAUUGGGACAUCUCUAGUUUUUUUAACUUAAUAGUCCAUACAGUUUUACUGUUUAAUUUUGCUAAUUACCCAAAACAUUUUUCAAACAUGUCUUUUCUCACUAUGAUGAUUACUUUAGUUUGAUGUCUUAAGGGGGUCUUGGAGGAUUUUGGAAACUUUACUUCUCUCAACGUGUAUGAUGAGAAGCAAACCAUGUUUAGUUUGUAGGCAUUGGUAAUGCUACAUCUAUGGCACACACUGUGUUUACACCACUAUGUUUACCACAGAUGUGUUGAAAAUUAUACCUUUUGAGCAGUGCACACUUUCUUCCACUGAACUAUUCAUUCCACCAGUUAAUAAAUAUGGAUCCAAACCUCCUUAUAUCCUCCUUCAUUCCACUUCCCCUUCUGCCCUGCCAUCAUCCCUUUCUCCCUCCUCCACCAUGCCACCACCCCUUUCUCACCUUCUUCCUCCUUGAAAUGAAAAAGAGGGGGAGGAAGUAUAUGAAAAGUCAGACAGCAUGGAGUAUUCAAAUCAGUCUGUGCUCCCAGAUGAGUGCUGCAGGAGAGUGUACACUUAAGGUGCUUUGGGAGGUAGGUUGGAGAAAUGGAUGAAAGAG